rnacentral:rRNA from 1 species
AACGAACGCUGGCGGCAGGCCUAACACAUGCAAGUCGAGCGGACCUUUCGGGGUCAGCGGCGGACGGGUGAGUAACGCGUGGGAAUAUGCCCUUCUCUACGGAAUAGUCCUGGGAAACUGGGGGUAAUACCGUAUACGCCCUUUGGGGGAAAGAUUUAUCGGGGAAGGAUUAGCCCGCGUUGGAUUAGGUAGUUGGUGGGGUAAUGGCCUACCAAGCCGACUAUCCAUAGCUGGUUUGAGAGGAUGAUCAGCCACACUGGGACUGAGACACGGCCCAGACUCCUACGGGAGGCAGCAGUGGGGAAUCUUAGACAAUGGGGGCAACCCUGAUCUAGCCAUGCCGCGUGAGUGAUGAAGGCCUUAGGGUUGUAAAGCUCUUUCAGCUGGGAAGAUAAUGACGGUACCAGCAGAAGAAGCCCCGGCUAACUCCGUG